rnacentral:sRNA from 2 species
AGAAGUUGAAACAUAUUAAGAAAUGACGUUAAAUUCAUUUUUGAGUGUAAAUGUGAUGGAUUGAAAAUUUGCCUGCGCUUCUAUCUCGUAGGAAACCUGGGGGUAUUCCAGAAACAAGCAAAGUCAAAACCAUCAUUGACUGGAGUAUGGUCAUAUCGCUGGCACAAAAGCAACAAGAAAAUAUCACUGCCAUGAUUGACCCUUCCGUGUGUCGUGGUUUUCCCUCAUCUUCGUCCCUCGAAACGCCAGAACAAUCGAACAAUAUCCACAGCAACAUCCCACUUCCAACAGAUUAACGCUUCUUCGAUGAAGCAGCAGCCUUCUCUUGUGAUUCUUUCAGCACCUUCUUGACGAUCUUCUGUUCCUCGAUAAGGAAGGCUCGGACGAUCCGGUCUUUGACACAACCACCGCAGCGGGAACCGCCAUAAGCACGGGACACGGACUUCUUGGGGCGGGAGAUCUGGGAAUAUUCACGGGGUCGGAGGGCGGGAAUGCCUGGGAGUUUGAUACCACAGUCACCGCAUUUUGGCGCCGUUCCCUUCUUCUUGAUGUGGAGGUAUCGAAGGUUGCCGCCCGGGGUCUUAAUGAUGCGAACUUUGUUUGACCGUGUGUUGUACGGGUUUCGCCGUCGGUAUUGAAGUCUGGUAUUGGCCAUUGUGACUGUCCUCGAAUCUCUGCUGUCGUCAAGCUCUGGUUCGGGGAGAUGGCGUUCUCGUUGUCGUCGCUGUUCGUUGUUUCAACACGCGAUUCGAUUUUGUGUGUGUGUUGCACGCAAAUUCGAGAUGUGCGCUAAAAAUUUGGCGAGAUGACGCUAAUACAUAUAAAGAUUAGCGUAUAUUUUACUUCAGCCGCCACCGGAAGGAUUUCUUCCAACGCGUUCCUACAGAUGUCAGGGACGAACACUCCCGUCUUGUCCACGCCCACGCAGAAGAUCUGCUAAUCUUCCCUGUCGCGGUGGAAUCUCUGAUAACUGUUACUUCGCAUCUGGAUUCUUUACUGGACGGGUAUACCUGCUUGCCGAUGGUGAAGCUGGACACAAUCCUCAUUUCCACCUGCAUUAUCAUCAUCAGCUGGAUGUGAGGCAGAUUUUGUUAUUUGGUGUCUUUUGCGCUCAUAAUGUCAGCGCUUCCUCCUCCUCCGCCUCCGGGAUGGGGUGCUGCAGCUCCCCCGUCGAUGCCUCUCGCUCCCCCACCACCCGGAUUCCGACCCCCAGCUGACCCUUUGGUCGGGAAGUUUGCACAGAAGAAAAACGAAUGGCUCAGGACGCAACGAAACCGUUUCGGGGAGAAGAGAAAAGCCGGCUUUGUGGAAAGCCAGAAGGCGGAUCUGCCACCGGAACAUCUCCGGAAGAUUGUAAAGGAUAUAGGAGAUGUGUCUCAGAAAAAGUUCAGUACCGACAAAAGGAGCUAUUUGGGGGCAUUGAAAUUCAUGCCUCAUGCGGUCCUUAAGUUGCUGGAGAAUAUGCCAAUGCCUUGGGAAUCAGCUCGGGAAGUCAAAGUGCUCUACCAUGUAAAUGGUUGCUUGACACUGGUCAACGAGAUCCCCCGAGUUAUAGAGCCUGUUUUUCAUGCGCAAUGGGCUACCAUGUGGAUGACGAUGCGACGAGAGAAAAGUGACCGCCGGCAUUUCAAAAGAAUGCGCUUUCCUCCUUUCGAUGACGAAGAGCCACCGUUGUCGUGGUCGGAAAAUAUUGAAGAUGUUGAACCUUUAGAACCCAUUCAGAUGGAACUUGACGAAUCAGAAGAUGCUCCAGUAUAUGAGUGGUUUUACGAUCAUCGACCACUUCUCGAUACCCCCCAUGUGAAUGGCCCAAGCUACAAGGAGUGGAAUUUGACUCUUCCACAAAUGGCAACGCUAUAUCGAUUGAGCCGCCAAUUGCUCAGCGACGUGGUCGAUAAAAAUUAUUUCCAUAUGUUCGAUCUAAACAGCUUUUUAACAGCAAAAGCGCUUAACGUCGCGAUUCCUGGUGGACCCCGAUUUGAGCCGUUGUAUAAAGACGUCGACCCAAAUGAUGAAGAUUUCGGAGAAUUCAAUGCGAUCGAUCGUAUCAUCUUCAGAGCUCCAAUCCGAACGGAAUAUCGAGUCGCUUUCCCAUACCUAUACAAUUCGUUACCACGAAGUGUCAAGCUGUCUUGGUACUCCUACCCUCAGAUCGUUUAUGUCCAAUCAGACCCCAACCUGCCUGCGUUUUAUUUUGACCCAGUCAUUAAUCCGAUAUCAUCCCGUUCUGUCGCUCCAAAGAAUAUAACUGUCAGCCACGAAGAUCAUAUUUUUGGAGCUGGAAAUGACGAGGAUGAAUUUACACUUCCUGGAAAUGCUGAGCCAUUCUUGGCUGAUGAAGAGCUGUACACCAGUGAAACGGCCUCUGCAAUUGCUCUUUGGUGGGCACCAUACCCGUUUGACCGCCGCUCUGGUAAAAUGGUUCGGGCGCAGGACGUACCCCUUGUGAAACAGUGGUAUCUUGAGCACUGCCCACAGGGCCAGCCCGUGAAAGUUCGUGUAUCGUACCAAAAGCUAUUAAAAACUUACGUUCUAAACGAAUUACAUCGGAAAAAGCCUAAGGCACAAAGCAAACAGAAUCUCUUGAGGACACUGAAGGGAACCAAGUUUUUCCAACAAACAACUAUUGAUUGGGUGGAAGCUGGGCUUCAAGUCUGUCGCCAAGGGUUUAACAUGUUGAAUCUGUUGAUUCAUCGCAAAAAUUUGACUUAUUUACAUCUCGACUACAACUUCAAUUUGAAACCAGUGAAGACUCUGACGACAAAGGAGCGAAAGAAGUCCCGUUUUGGAAAUGCUUUCCAUCUAAUGCGGGAAAUCCUUCGCUUAACGAAGCUUAUCGUUGAUGCCCAGGUCCAAUAUCGUUUGGGUAAUAUCGAUGCUUUCCAACUUGCUGACGGCAUCCUCUAUGCUUUUAAUCAUGUUGGCCAACUGACGGGCAUGUACAGAUACAAGUACAAACUAAUGCACCAGAUCAGAUCAUGUAAAGACCUGAAGCAUCUCAUAUACUAUCGCUUCAACUCUGGUCCGGUUGGAAAAGGUCCGGGGUGCGGGUUCUGGGCACCUGCUUGGAGGGUUUGGUUAUUCUUCCUGAGAGGGAUUAUACCUCUCCUGGAGCGCUGGCUAGGAAAUUUACUCUCCCGUCAGUUUGAAGGGCGCCACAGCAAGGGUGUCGCAAAAACUGUUACGAAACAACGUGUUGAAUCCCAUUUCGAUCUUGAGCUUCGCGCUUCAGUCAUGGCAGAUCUUAUGGACAUGAUGCCUGAAGGCAUCAAACAAAAUAAGGUUAACACUGUUUUGCAACAUCUCUCGGAGGCCUGGCGAUGCUGGAAAAGUAAUAUCCCCUGGAAAGUCCCGGGGCUUCCUGCUCCUAUAGAGAAUAUUAUCUUAAGAUAUGUCAAAAGUAAGGCAGAUUGGUGGAUUUCUGUUGCUCAUUACAACCGGGAGCGUAUUCGGCGCGGAGCGACGGUUGAUAAGACUGUGGCUAAGAAAAAUCUCGGACGACUCACGCGACUCUGGCUCAAAGCUGAACAAGAGCGGCAGCACAACUACCUGAAAGAUGGCCCUUACGUCUCUUCUGAAGAAGCCGUUGCAAUUUACACUACCACGGUCCACUGGCUGGAAUCCCGAAAAUUCUCCCCUAUUCCGUUUCCUAGCGUAUCUUACAAGCAUGAUACGAAGAUUUUAAUUUUGGCUCUAGAGCGUUUGCGCGAAGCUUAUUCUGUUAAGGGCCGCUUAAAUCAAAGCCAACGGGAAGAACUUGCUCUCAUUGAACAAGCCUAUGAUUCUCCGGGUACAACUCUGGCGAGAAUUAAGAGAUUCCUUCUCACACAGCGAGCUUUCAAGGAAGUUGGUAUUGACAUGAACGACAACUAUUCAAACAUCAAUCCAGUGUACGAUAUCGAGCCCAUUGAGAAAAUCACUGAUGCGUACUUGGAUCAGUAUCUUUGGUAUCAAGCAGAUCAACGUCACCUAUUUCCGGCCUGGAUCAAACCGUCAGAUUCCGAGGUUCCCCCUCUUCUUACAUACAAAUGGGCUCAAGGCAUUAACAACCUUUCAAAUGUAUGGGAAACCGCCGAUGGUGAAUGUAAUGUUAUGAUUGAGACGGAGCUAUCUAAGGUUUAUGAGAAAAUUGACCUCACCUUACUCAAUCGACUUCUCCGUCUCAUUAUGGACCAUAAUUUGGCUGAUUACAUCACCUCGAAAAAUAACGUUCAGCUCAACUACAAGGACAUGAACCACACGAAUAGUUAUGGUAUGAUCCGUGGCCUUCAAUUCUCUGGUUUCGUCUUCCAGUAUUAUGGCCUCGUAAUCGAUUUGCUCUUGCUGGGCUUGCAACGAGCAAGCGAGAUUGCAGGCCCUCCCCAGAGUCCAAAUGAUUUCUUGCAGUUUAAAGAUCGGUCAACCGAAACUAGACAUCCUAUUCGCCUCUACACAAGAUAUAUUGACAAGAUUUGGGUGUUCUUGAGAUUCUCAGCCGAUGAAUCACGAGAUCUUAUUCAAAGGUUUUUGACCGAACAGCCAGACCCGAAUUUCGAGAACGUAAUCGGUUAUAGAAAUAAAAAAUGCUGGCCUAGGGACUCUCGAAUGCGGUUGAUGAGACAUGACGUUAAUUUGGGUCGUGCAGUUUUUUGGGAUCUGAAGAACCGCCUUCCGAGAUCCAUCACCACCAUUGAGUGGGAUGACACUUUUGCCAGUGUGUACAGCAAGGAUAAUCCAAAUAUGUUAUUUUCGAUGUGUGGUUUCGAGGUCCGCAUUUUACCGAAGAUCCGCAACCAAAAUGACGAGUUCCAAGUCAAGGACAGCGUCUGGUCGUUAGCGAAUAACACGACUAAAGAACGAACUGCAUAUGCGUUCCUGCAGGUCACGGAAGAGGAUAUCCAGAAGUUUAACAAUCGGAUCAGGCAAAUUUUAAUGUCUUCCGGCUCGACUACCUUUACAAAAAUUGCCAAUAAGUGGAAUACGAGUUUGAUCGCUCUGUUCACAUAUUAUCGAGAAGCAGCGGUAUCCACUGUUAACCUCUUGGACACAAUUGUUAAAUGCGAAACCAAAAUCCAAACCCGGGUUAAAAUUGGCCUGAACUCGAAAAUGCCGUCCCGCUUCCCCCCCGCCGUCUUCUACACCCCUAAAGAAUUGGGAGGCCUGGGGAUGAUUUCUGGUUCUCACAUACUUAUUCCGGCCAGCGACAAACGCUGGUGGAAGCAAACUGAUACUGGAGUCACCCACUACCGAGCGGGUAUGUCACACGAUGAGGAAACUUUGAUUCCUAACAUUUUUAGAUACAUAAUACCCUGGGAGGCGGAGUUUACCGACUCGCAACGGGUGUGGAUGGAGUACUCUCAAAAACGACAAGAGGCGAAUCAGCAAAAUCGUCGAUUGACACUUGAGGAUUUGGAAGACAGCUGGGACCGCGGCCUUCCACGUAUCAAUACUCUCUUCCAAAAAGACCGGAGCACUCUCAGUUUUGACAAAGGCUUCCGUACGCGAACCGAAUUCAAAGCCUAUCAACUGAUGAAGAGCAAUCCAUUCUGGUGGACAAGCCAGAGGCAUGACGGUAAAUUGUGGAACCUCAAUGCCUAUCGGACCGAUGUGAUUCAGGCCCUUGGGGGUGUUGAAACGAUCUUGGAACAUACUUUGUUCAAAGCUACAGCGUUUCCUUCGUGGGAGGGAUUGUUUUGGGAACGAGCCUGUCUUGCCAAGGGAACACAGUUGCUUCGGUACGAUGGUACCAAGGUUGGAGUCGAGAACGUUAGAGAAGGAGACCUUCUCCUUGGUCCCGAUGGCGAACCUCGGCGCGCUUUCAACAUUGUCAGUGGACGAGAUCGUCUGUAUCGCAUUAGUAUUGACGCUGACAAGGAAGACCUUGUUGUAACGCCAAACCAUAUUCUUGUUCUUCAUCAUGAAAAGGAAAACCAAAAGCGACAGAGCGAAUUGUCGGCUUCUGCGACAGAGCGCUACGAUACUGUGGAAAUGACAGCCGCCGAUUUUGCUGCUCUGGAUCCAGAAGAAAGGCGUUGGUACCGACUCUUUAGAUCCCCUGGCUUCGAGUUCGGCCAGCAAAACGUACCCAUAGACCCAUAUUUCGUUGGUUUUUGGUUAUGCGAUGGAAUUCGCGCGAGUACCACAAUCUAUACCAGUCCCGAAGAAGCAACCAGAGAGUUUAUCAUCAACCAUGCUGCUGAAUUGGACCUGCAACUUGCUUCGAAAGAAUAUAUGCAACACUCAGUCCGUCGUGUAGCCCGACAAACCAUCUUGGAGCAACGGCUCGCCGUUCAAUGCACAGCACCACAAGAAACUGACAGGACACUUCUCAGCCAUAUCUUGCAGAAAGCUGCGAAAAGUGGCCUAGCCUCCAGCACGCGAACCAUGUCAACCAGCCGAAAUCGCCAGCCUCUUUCCGAAACCUCAGCAGCAACUUCCAUGAAUAUUCUUCCCGGGUUUGCGUCUAAUUCGACUUCAGUCGUUUCCCCUGGUAUCCAUUCUCACGAAAUUCUGUCGUUGCGUAGCUCCUGUUCGCAGCUCGUGCAGAUAACGGAGAAGUCUGGGUUACGUGAAGAGUGCAUGAUUAACCCGCCGUCAUCGAGAGAGGAUCUCGGGCUCGAUUUAUUUGACACACAUAUUGAAGCCGAUGAAAUCCAGGGCCUGGAUGAAAACUUGACCGGACAGAAGCACCGCCUACGAACGGGCUGUCGAGCAUAUGGAGAUCUCACUGUCCAUGAGGAAGGACAAAUUCUUGAUAAUAUCAUUAGCCGACCUGUUGGCACUCCUGAUAUUGGUACGCUCCUUCGGGCUCUCGAAGAGUUGGGGUUACCUACAAAUCGCGCAGAAGGGCACGGAGUUGAAAAUAAACGCAUACCAUUUAUGUACAUGAAGAGUUCUCGAUCAAUCCGGCUAGCUCUUCUCGCGGGGCUGAUCGAUAGUGAUGGCUGGUACUGUCAACCUCAGAAUACGUUCUGUUUUGGCGAGAGUGAACGCAUUUCGCCUACUCUUUUCUGGGACAUCGUCACGUUAGCACGAUCAUUAGGUUUGAGUGUUUCUACAGAGCAGCAUACGAUGCGUAGCCCGGCUUGCACAGCAUAUAAACCCCGGUUUGUUGCCCAGAUAUCCGGAAAUGUAGCAGAAGUUACCUGCCUCCUCGCGCGAAAGGGAGGUGUCAAAAGUCCCGUUUCUCAGGCUCAUAGUUUCACUAUUAAGGGGAUUCAUCUUGAGUCGGAGAUGACGGAAUGGGCGGGCUUCAGAGUCGAUAAAGACCAGCUCUACCUGCGACACGACUUUCUUGUAUUACAUAACAGCGGAUUUGAAGAAUCUAUGAAAUUCAAGAAGUUGACCAACGCGCAGAGAUCAGGUUUGAAUCAGAUUCCUAACCGUCGCUUUACUCUGUGGUGGUCACCAACAAUUAAUCGUGCAAAUGUUUAUGUUGGUUUCCAGGUCCAGCUUGACUUGACUGGCAUAUUCCUACACGGGAAGAUCCCAACCUUGAAGAUUUCAUUGAUCCAAAUCUUCCGUGCCCACUUGUGGCAAAAGAUUCACGAGUCUGUCGUCAUGGAUCUCUGUCAAGUAUUCGACCAAGAAUUGGAGCAGUUAGGUAUCGAAACUGUUCAGAAAGAAACUAUCCACCCCAGGAAAUCUUAUAAAAUGAAUAGCUCAUGUGCCGAUAUUCUGUUAUUCGCCACCCACAAGUGGAAUGUCACUAGACCGUCUCUUCUUUUUGACACCAAGGAUGUGAUUGAACCCACUACGACGAAUAAAUUCUGGUUAGAUGUACAACUGCGUUACGGUGACUAUGAUUCUCAUGAUAUCGAGAGGUACGUUCGUGCCAAGUACCUCGAUUACACGACGGAUAGCAUGAGCAUAUACCCAUCCGCAACUGGCCUAAUGAUUGGUAUCGACCUGGCGUAUAACCUAUACUCGGCCUAUGGUCAAUACUUCCCUGGUUUGAAGGCUCUGGUGCAGCAAGCUAUGGCAAAGAUCAUGAAGGCAAAUCCGGCCUUGUACGUACUAAGAGAACGUAUUCGGAAAGGCCUCCAGCUUUAUGCCUCAGAAAGCAACCAGGAAUUCUUGAAUUCCCAAAAUUAUUCCGAAUUGUUUAGUAACCAAAUUCAGCUUUUUAUUGAUGACACUAAUGUCUACCGUGUCACAAUUCAUAAAACAUUCGAGGGUAAUUUGACGACAAAACCAAUCAAUGGUGCGAUUUUCAUAUUCAAUCCGCGCACUGGACAGCUGUUCCUGAAAAUCAUCCACACUAGUGUCUGGGCGGGCCAAAAGCGUCUCGGUCAAUUAGCCAAAUGGAAAACGGCAGAGGAAGUUGCCGCACUUAUCAGAUCUCUGCCGGUUGAAGAACAACCGAAGCAACUGAUAGUCACAAGAAAGGGUCUCCUCGAUCCACUCGAGGUUCAUUUGCUAGAUUUCCCCAAUAUCUCCAUCAGAGCGUCUGAGCUUCAGCUACCUUUCCAAGCUGCGAUGAAGGUCGAGAAGCUUGCGGACAUGAUUUUGCGCGCGACUGAACCGCAAAUGGUUCUUUUCAACCUCUAUGAUGAGUGGCUGAAGACAAUAUCGUCAUACACUGCAUUUUCCCGGCUUAUUCUAAUACUUCGAGCUCUCCAUGUGAAUCCUGAGAAAACGAAAAUCCUUCUUCGUCCAGAUAAGACAGUCAUUACCCAAGAACACCAUAUCUGGCCCACGCUGUCAGAUGAGGAUUGGAUCAAGGUUGAAGUCCAGCUCCGUGACUUGAUUCUGAAUGACUACGGCAAAAAGAACAACGUUAACACUCAAAGUUUGACUAGCAGCGAAGUUCGUGAUAUUAUUCUUGGAAUGGAGAUUAGUGCGCCGUCCAUGCAGCGACAGCAGGCUGCGGAAAUUGAAAAACAGCAGGAGGAACAGAAGCAGCUCACAGCGGUCACAACCAAAACUCAAAACGUCCGAGGAGAAGAGAUAGUUGUUACGACUACUUCCCAGUAUGAACAACAAGCAUUUGCUUCAAAGACCGAGUGGAGGACUCGGGCUAUUGCGACAUCAAAUCUUCGAACCCGGGCCAACAACAUCUAUAUUUCUUCUGACGAUAUCCAAGAGGAGGGACACUACACGUAUAUCAUGCCAAAGAAUAUCUUAAAGCGGUUUAUCACAAUCGCAGAUCUUCGAGUGCAGGUUGCUGGAUAUUUAUAUGGUGGGUCACCGCCUGACAAUGAUCAAGUUAAGGAGAUCCGGACGAUCGUGAUGAUCCCACAAGUUGGAAAUACUCGUGAUAUACAAUUACCACAUCAACUCCCCCAGCAUGAAUAUCUCAGUUCUCUUGAGCCUCUUGGAGUUAUUCAUACGCUCUCUGGAAACGAACCAUCGUAUAUGACAGCGAUGGAUGUUACGCAGCAUGCGCGCCUCAUGAAUGCGCACUCCUCCUGGGACAAGAAAACUGUGACUAUGACUGUAUCGUUCACCCCAGGUUCUGUGUCGUUGAGCGCGUGGGCAUUGACACCCCAGGGUUAUAAAUGGGGGGCUGAAAAUAAGGACACAUCCUCUGAUCAACCUCAAGGUUACUCAACCAGCAUGGGAGAAAAAUGUCAGCUUUUGCUCAGUGACAAAAUACGCGGUUACUUUUUAGUUCCGGAGAACAACGUCUGGAACUACAGCUUUAUGGGCAGUUCUUUCAGUAGCUUAGAAAAGCGACCCAUAUAUGUGAAGAUUGAUACCCCAUUACGCUUCUAUGAUGACCAACACCGCCCCCUACAUUUCCAAAAUUUUGCCGAGUUAGAGGAUAUCUGGGUUGAUAGAGUCGAUAACUUUGCAUGAUCAUGCCGAGUCUCCUGCUCUCAUCGACUUAUGUGUUAAAUAGAAGGCCUUUAUUAAUUUCCUACUUGUACCUGCUGUUUCAUUGGCGAGUGGUCCGUUAAUUUGUUUUUGUUACUUUUAUUCUUUGACUUUUCAAUUUGCGCUUGUUUUGUAUGCAUAUGUACUGUACGUUACCACAAAUAAACCAUGUUCUGCACUGUAUGAGAAAAGUCCCGCCUAGAAAGAAUAAUGCCAUUGUAACUUAAAAUAUUAUUGGCGCUAUCUGUUCAUUCGUUGUAUUCAUAGGUGACAAAAAGCCCAU